AUUGAACGCUGGCGGCAUGCUUUACACAUGCAAGUCGAACGGUAACAGGCCGCAAGGUGCUGACGAGUGGCGAACGGGUGAGUAAUGCAUCGGAACGUGCCCAGUCGUGGGGGAUAACGCAGCGAAAGCUGUGCUAAUACCGCAUACGAUCUGUGGAUGAAAGCGGGGGACCGAAAGGCCUCGCGCGAUUGGAGCGGCCGAUGUCAGAUUAGGUAGUUGGUGGGGUAAAGGCUCACCAAGCCAACGAUCUGUAGCUGGUCUGAGAGGACGACCAGCCACACUGGGACUGAGACACGGCCCAGACUCCGACGGGAGGGAGCAGUGGGGAAUUUUGGACAAUGGGCGCAAGCCUGAUCCAGCAAUGCCGCGUGCAGGAAGAAGGCCUUCGGGUUGUAAACUGCUUUUGUACGGAGCGAAAAGGCUCUCUCUAAUACAGGGGGCUCAUGACGGUACCGUAAGAAUAAGCACCGGCUAACUACGUGCCAGCCGCCGCCGUAACAC
rnacentral:rRNA from 1 species